GUCAAGCACUUAAAUAAAUGAAUUGAAUUGAAUUGAAUUAUGACUUUUUCCACAUCCUAUCAUCAUCUGACUGUCUUAUGGAUCCAUGGAAUGUAAAUAAAUUAUUAUUAUUAUUAUGUAUCUAUGGGGAUGGAAUGUGAGAUGCUUGUGUAAGAGGCUAUGUACCUUGGCAUCACUACAGUAAUACUCCAGUAAAUUUCUUGUUUCAUCAACACAAGGUUAAUGAAUUUUCUUGCCACACAUAACAUUACAGCAGUUUCUUAUUUUCUGGAAAUUUUUAUGUGAAAAAGAUUUGUGAGAUACAAUUUUAUCCUGAAUAUACUCAGUAUUAGCUUGAGAGCACCCCAUAUUCUAUUUCAGAAUAUGGUAUUGUAGAUUCUCAUCCAAUUUAUACCUGCAUUUAAUGCAUACCAUCUGAAUGAAUUAUGUUUAACUCAUAAUUGUACAGCAGAAUAUUGAUAAAAUCAAGAUAGAAAAUGAUGUGGAUGUUCUGAGGGAAGAAUCCGUUGGCGUGAGAAAUGAUGAGGUUUACACACCCUCAACUUUUCCCAUAGUAAAGGAUGAAUUAUUUAUGGUUGUAAUUUGUUUGUGUGUAUGUACAAGUGUAUCCAUACAUGCAUUCAUGCAUGUUGUUUUAGGGUAACUGUUUUAUAAAAACAACAUUUCUGUAACAUAAUAAUUGUAUAUGUGUAUGGUGGUUUUACAGAACUGUAUGGAUUCGGUGAAAGAUGAACCUGAUUCAGACAGUGAUAUGUGUCAGGAUAGAAAUCAGGUCAUCAGUGUAAAAGCUGAGGAUGUCUCAGAUAUAAAAAUUGAGGAACAUCCUAUUCCAAUUACAAAUCAAGUUAUGAAGGAUGAACAGGAGGCUUUUAGAUGCUUCUCGCGGUGCUCUUCGAGACGUUAAUUGGUAUCGUCCAAGGCCGUAGCUAGAAUUCCUGUCUACCGAGGUACCCUCCAAAUAACUAUCCAGAAGCGAUGGACUGCGAGACGAGGCUACGAGAGUCGUGUCAUCCGCUUAGGGAAGACGAGUCUACCCUGUCUACUGCAGCCCGCAUGCCGAGAUAUAUGGUUGUGGUUGACUGGAAGCACGUUUGGAACGUUCGGCGGUCAAGCAGUGACUUCUACCUCAAAAUGCAGUUCAUGAUGGACCGGAAAUUUUAAGAAGCUAACGGUUGCUGACCUAGGUAAGAAUGUCGCUAUCUUUAUAUAACCCAACGGUUUAUUUAGCCUACAGUUUUCAUAUAAAACCCUAUCCUCAGCCACAACAAUCGAGUUCACACACUCAUGUCCAACAUUUUUGGUAUCUGUCUUAAUAUUACCCCCCAACUACGCUUAGAUUAUCCACGUGAUCUCUUCCUUAAAGUUUUUCGACACAAUUUUUUUAUCUCAUAUGAGAAAGUAACGAGAAAUAAAACAUUUUAAUGUUUUGACGUCAUUUCAAAAUUAAAAUGUCUUUGCCGUUCUAAAAAUAUGCCUGCUCCAAAUGCCUGUUCUAAAUGUUAAAUUAAUUUUUCCUACGAGAGAUUGAAGAUAAAUUCCUUGUUCUUGAUAAGCUUCGACAGCAGACUUGCUUGUUGUCCUUAACUAACUUUACUAUUAUUGCCACAGGAAUAAAGUACAAGGUAUAUAAGACAAAAGAAUGGAAGAAAUUGAUUUCCAUCUGCAAUACAUUGAAAGCAAUAUCGUAUAAUAAUGAAAGGUCGAAAAUAAUGCAUUCGGUGCUUAUAUCUACGCUAUUGUUUUAGUAACUUACGUGGUCUUCUUCGUUUUACUAUAUUUGUCUCAUGUAGGCCUGUAUAAUAUAAUUUAGCUUUCGAAUCGUCUUAAUAGUCCUUUUACCUGACGGCUGUCUUCACUGCAGGAAAGUGAGCUGUUAGACGGAGUGAGUUGAUAGGUAUGUAGAAGAGACUUGCAUGCUGCUACAAUGUCCAUGAAAUGGUUAUAGUCCUUUUUAAAGCAUGUUUUUACUUAUUAUUACGGCGUUUGUGUCCUUGUAGAUAAUGUUAUUGUUAUCUAUGAUACGGAUGAACAAAAACAUUUACAAUUAAUGUUGAUACUAAAUGUGGCGUAGGCAGUUUUACCCUCAAGCAUAGCUUUCUAAUAAAUUGCUUGCAAUUACGUCAUUUGUUACGAACCAUAAUAACAAUACAUAUUAUUCGUAUUGUCUUCUUCACUAAAGCAAUGGCGUAUUGGUUCCUAAGGAAACAUCCCGUUGAAAUCAAUAAUAAUAUUGGUCUUGUUUACAUCUGUUUAUAGGGAAAAACACUAAAUAUAUUUAUGUAAUUCACAGAGUAAAACAGUAAAAUUUUCGCACUUUCAUUCUGCGGUCUGCCGAUAUGUCUUGUUCAUCCCGCGUGCAUUUUUCUGUUAUACUGUAUCAUCCUGCUUGUUUAAAAAGCACGUAGGUUAUAGACUACAUUUAUGAAAGACUAUUGAUGAUGAAAUAUUUAAUAAGUAUAUAAUAAAUAAAUUAAUAAAUGUUUUAAAGAAAAUAAUAGAGUAAUAUAUGAAAAUGUUUUAAUAAAAUGUUAGUUUCAAUAAAUUAUACCCUUUUAUAAAUCAACGACCAGCAAGUCCACAAGAAGGUGUACCUUGUCACCUGCGCCACCAGGUUCCAGAUGGGGGGAAAAUGCUUCCAGACAUAGAGGGCAUGUGGGGUAAAAAUAACACAGCCUCGGACAGUUAAAACGGGAAGUUUCUCCGGACUGGGGGUUUAGUAGGAGACAAAGAACUAACCACCACGAAAUAACCAACGUGUAACAAAAUACUGCAAAGGAACUUGGACUUAUACGCCAGGUUCUUUGAAAGCAGUGUAGAAAAUACAAAACAAACAUUAGAUUCACUCAGAUUGGAGAAGGGUGGCAUUGAAAGAGCAGAGGAUGAUACACCUUAUACAAAAAUUUAAAAUUGUGUUUGUAUUUGUGUAAUCCCGUGAUUUGCAGUAAAGUUUUCUUACUUAUACCUUGAGAUUAUAAGUAGAUUUUAGAAAGGUCAAAAAUAAGAAUACUUAUUUUGAGUCGGAAUCAUAGAGAGGAUGGUUCUUGUAGCUUAGAAACAAAGCGCAAUUGAAUAUUGGUGCCAAGAAAAAAGUUGUUUCUUUUAAAGAAGAUAGUCUGUUGGAAGUUCACAGAUGUUUCGGAGGUCAUCGUUGGCCCCAUCAUCAGAGUGAUAAGUACGUCGCGCGACUAACCAGCCACGCAAAAACGUAACUGAAAGCGGAAUCCUGCACAAGUACAAAACAACUUCCCUUGCUAAGAUACACGAUUUCUGAGAAGAAAAUUCAUUGCUGGAAAUCGUAAAAAGUGUCUUAAAUCUAUAAUGUGAGUGUGAUUACGCUAAGGCCAUUAGGAUCGAUUACUUCCAGGGGUAUCAUACUCAGUGGGAUCUUCUCAAGGAGCUUGCCAGCUGUAUAAAUAGAAGUGAUGAGUCAGGAAUCAGGCAAUUAGAUCAAUAUAACCCCAUUUAUGACAAACACAACCGACCGCGGGCCCUACAAGGGGACUGAUCCUGCACACGCCGUACUAAUUACACACAUUUAAACAAACUAAAGUCUUUUUUGGGCAAAACUUUACUCGUUUUAGCCAGCCGUUCAUCGGAGGACGCCCCAGCGGACCAGACCACGAAGCCAACAGCCGAAGAAGACCAUGGAAACGCGGAUGAUCUGCAUCCAUCAUCUUAUGUUGUAUUAUUGCACCACAUGUACCUGACUUUAUCAAUAAAGCCUAUGGCACAAGAUAGGGAGACCUAGGGGUCGUAUAAA